rnacentral:rRNA from 1 species
GAUGAACGCUAGCGACAGGCUUAACACAUGCAAGUCGAGGGGCAGCGAGAAAGUGCUUGCACUUUUGUCGGCGACCGGCGCACGGGUGAGUAACACGUAUGCAACCUGCCCUUGUCAGGGGGAUAAGCGGGGGAAACCCCGUCUAAUACCGCAUAUAUGAUUUGGAGGCAUCUCUGAAUCAGGAAAGGAGCAAUCCGCUGAUAGAUGGGCUUGCGUCUGAUUAGCUAGUUGGUGGGGUAACGGCCUACCAAGGCGACGAUCAGUAGCCGAGCUGAGAGGCUCAACGGCCACAUUGGGACUGAGACACGGCCCAAACUCCUACGGGAGGCAGCAGUGGGGAAUAUUGCACAAUGGGGGAAACCCUGAUGCAGCGACGCCGCGUGAGUGAAGAAGUAUUUCGGUAUGUAAAGCUCUAUCAGCAAGGAAGAAAAUGACGGUACUUGACUAAGAAGCCCCGGCUAACUACGUG